rnacentral:rRNA from 1 species
UACGUAGGGUGCGAGCGUUGUCCGGAAUUAUUGGGCGUAAAGAGCUUGUAGGCGGUUUGUCGCGUCUGCUGUGAAAAUCCGGGGCUCAACCCCGGACUUGCAGUGGGUACGGGCAGACUAGAGUGUGGUAGAGGAAAGCGGAAUUCCUGGUGUAGCGGUGAAAUGCGCAGAUAUCAGGAAGAACACCAGUGGCGAAAGCGGCUUUCUGGACUGUUACUGACGCUGAGGUGUGAAAGCUAGGGGAGCGAACAGGAUUAGAUACCCCUGUA